rnacentral:lncRNA from 1 species
ACCAGGAGACUGUGGGAGGAUGUGAGCUCUCUGAGAAGGAGAAGAAGUAUUUACAUUAGAAGUCUGAUUCACAGGUCGGGGCAAAGUGAAAAACAUCUGCACUUUUAAAAGAGAGGUCAAAAGUCCGUCUGACUCACCUGUGCUGAGUGACUUGAAUGCCAUCUAAUCUAACUUCAAGAUCAUCAGGAUACUUGCCAACAAGGUCACAGUGGACUCCAUGGAGCAACUGCCCUCAGGAGGCAACAGAUGGCUUCACUUGCUUAUUGGCUGAAGGUCUGCAAGGACUCAAUUCACAUAUCUGAUCAUACCUGGAGUCCAGACUUUCUCCUGAUGCCUGACCCCUUUGCCAUUAGGUCGGCUCCGUAUGACUGAGUUCUAGCCAGUGAGGUAUGGGCAGAAGUGAUGUGUACCAAUUGCGAGCUCGACUUUUGAAAUCAUCCCACGUGAUCCUCCUGCCAUCUACCAGCCAUCCUUUUUGAUCUUGAAGGUCUUAUGCCUCAGAUUGUGUAACUACAGGAUGAAGGAAGGCCACUCAACCCACACUUGGACAUGAUGUUCUUUUUGAGGGGAGUCUCUCUGAUGCUUGGAAUGAAUCCUGCUGAAUCAAUGCUGAUGCUUGGAGAUCUUCAAGUCUUUUCCCUUUUUCCCAUUGCUCAUGAUGUCUAUAUAACCUCCAAACAUGCAUCCCACUCCUCUGCCGAAAGACCAUUUUUUUAUAUCUUCAGUGAUGGUCUAGGCCAGGUUAAUUGACUUUUCUUUUUUCUUAAGCCAACUAAAGUCCUCACCACAAAUUAA